GCAGGCUAUGUAAUCCACCUGAAGCUAAUUAGGUUUGGGCCUGGCCAGUACUUGGAUGGGAGACCAACUAGGAAUGUUGGUUUGCUGCU
rnacentral:rRNA from 1 species